AACAUCUUCUAGGGAGGAUCGGCAAUUAGAACGCAUUAGCCUGAAGGAUCGAGUCACACCGCUGAGGACAUCAGCAUGGAGAUCAUAGAAGACAUUGAAAACGAAAUCACUGCUAGAACUAUACGAAUCAGGCUCCGGAAUGUUGGUUUGAACGUUCGACAACCCGCUAAAAGCCACUUUUGACUAAGAAAAUGCGUCAACAACGCCUGUGGGCUAUUAAGCACCAAAGCUGAACUAAAGUCGAUUGGCAGAAAGUAAUCUUCUCUGACGAGUUCAACAUGUUAUGUAGCGACGGGAUGUCCUGCGUAAGUAGAAAAACUGGAGAACGCUAUAGCGAAGAGUGCGUCCGAAGAACAGUUAAGCAGGGAGGCAGCACUAAACGCAAUUAAGUAGCUGCAAAUAUUGGAGAAAUAUUUAACACUUUCAAUUGAAGAGCAAUUUUCGCAAGAAAACGUUCUCAUCUUUCCAGCAAGAAAAUAGUAGGUAAAAAUUGCUCUCGCAAAAUGGAGUUUUGCUGUUAGAAUGACGAGGUAACAGCGCAGACUUAAACCCAUUGAGAACCUUUGGUAUAUUAUAAAGACCAAG